rnacentral:misc_RNA from 1 species
UUAAGUUCAGCGGGUAGUCCUACCUGAUUUGAGGUCAGAUUGUCAAAGUUGUCCCCCGUGGGAGACGAUUAGAAGCUAAGCUCUGUAAAUUGAAGCCUUUCAUCGGCGUAGAUAAUUAUCACACCAGAGAUUAGCAACAAAAAGCCUUGCGCUAAUGCAUUUUAGGGCAGCUAACUCGCAAGUUAAGCAAGCCAGCAAAG